GACGAACGCUGGCGGCGUGCUUAACACAUGCAAGUCGAACGGAAAGGCCCUGCUUUUGUGGGGUGCUCGAGUGGCGAACGGGUGCGUAACACGUGAGUAACCUGCCCUUGACUUUGGGAUAACUUCAGGAAACUGGGGCUAAUACCGGAUCGGAGCUCCUGCUGCAUGGUGGGGGUUGGAAAGUUUCGGCGGUUGGGGAUGGACUCGCGGCUUAUCAGCUUGUUGGUGGGGUAGUGGCUUACCAAGGCUUUGACGGGUAGCCGGCCUGAGAGGGUGACCGGCCACAGUGGGACUGAGAUACGGCCCAGACUCCUACGGGAGGCAGCAGUGGGGAAUAUUGCACGAUGGGCGGAAGCCUGAUGCAGCAACGCCGCGUGCUGGAUGACGGCCUUCGUGUUGUAAACCGCUUUCGCCUGUGACGAAGCGUGAUUGACGGUAAUGGGUAAAGAAGCACCGGCUAACUACGUG
rnacentral:rRNA from 1 species